GGAGAGGUGCCGGAGCGGCCGAACGGGGCGCCCUGCUAAGGCGUUGUCGGGGUCAACCCGACCGUGGGUUCAAAUCCCACCCUCUCCG
rnacentral:tRNA from 1 species